rnacentral:rRNA from 1 species
GACGAACGCUGGCGGCGUGCCUAAUACAUGCAAGUUGAGCGCUGAAGGUUGGUACUUGUACCAACUGGAUGAGCAGCGAACGGGUGAGUAACGCGUGGGGAAUCUGCCUUUGAGCGGGGGACAACAUUUGGAAACGAAUGCUAAUACCGCAUAAAAACUUUAAACACAAGUUUUAAGGUUGAAAGAUGCAAUUGCAUCACUCAAAGAUGAUCCCGCGUUGUAUUAGCUAGUUGGUGAGGUAAAGGCUCACCAAGGCGAUGAUACAUAGCCGACCUGAGAGGGUGAUCGGCCACAUUGGGACUGAGACACGGCCCAAACUCCUACGGGAGGCAGCAGUAGGGAAUCUUCGGCAAUGGACGAAAGUCUGACCGAGCAACGCCGCGGGAGUGAAGAAGGUUUUCGGAUCGUAAAACUCGGUUGGUAGAGAAGAACGUUGGUGAGAGUGGAAAGCUCAUCAAGUGACGGUAACUACCCAGAAAGGGACGGCUAACUACGUG